GUGUUUAUUUCAGUAGCACAUAUACUAAAAUUGGAAUGAUACAGAGAAGAUCAGCUUGGCCUCUGCACAAGGCUGACAAACAUAUUUGUGAAGCGUUCUAUAAAAAA